ACUGCUCAGUAACACGUGGACAACCUACCCUGAAGAGGGGGAUAACCCCGGGAAACUGGGGAUAAUACCCCAUAGGCUAUGGAUGCUGGAAUGCUCUGUAGUUGAAAGGUCCGCCGCUUCAGGAUGGGUCUGCGGCCGAUUAGGUUGUUGUUGGGGUAACGGCCCAACAAGCCUGUAAUCGGUACGGGUUGUGGGAGCAAGAGCCCGGAGAUGGAUUCUGAGACACGAAUCCAGGCCCUACGGGGCGCAGCAGGCGCGAAAACUUUGCAAUGCGAGCAAUCGUGACAAGGGAACUCCGAGUGCCUGUAAAAUCAGGCUGUCCGCCAGUGUAAAUAACUGGUGAAGAAAGGGCCGGGCAAGACCGGUGCCAGCCGCCGCGGUAAUACCGGCGGCUCGAGUGGUGGCCACUAUUACUGGGCUUAAAGCGUUCGUAGCUGGUCUGUUAAGUCUCUGGGGAAAUCUUCCGGCUUAACCGGAAGGCGUCUCAGGGAUACUGGCAGACUAGGGACCGGAAGAGGUGAGAGGUACUCCAGGGGUAGGAGUGAAAUCCUGUAAUCCUUGGGGGACCACCUGUGGCGAAGGCGUCUCACCAGAACGGCUCCGACAGUGAGGAACGAAAGCUGGGGGAGCAAACCGGAUUAGAUACCCGGGUAGUCCCAGCUGUAAACGAUGCGCGUUAGGUGUAUCGGUGACCACGAGUCACCGAGGUGCCGAAGAGAAAUCGUGAAACGUGCCGCCUGGGAAGUACGGUCGCAAGGCUGAAACUUAAAGGAAUUGGCGGGGGAGCAC
rnacentral:rRNA from 1 species